rnacentral:rRNA from 1 species
AGUGAACGCUGGCGGUAGGCCUAACACAUGCCAGUCGAACGGCAGCACAGUAAGAGCUUGCUCUUACGGGUGGCGAGUGGCGGACGGGUGAGGAAUACAUCGGAAUCUACUUUUUCGUGGGGGAUAACGUAGGGAAACUUACGCUAAUACCGCAUACGACCUACGGGUGAAAGCAGGGGAUCUUCGGACCUUGCGCGAUUGAAUGAGCCGAUGUCGGAUUAGCUAGUUGGCGGGGUAAAGGCCCACCAAGGCGACGAUCCGUAGCUGGUCUGAGAGGAUGAUCAGCCACACUGGAACUGAGACACGGUCCAGACUCCUACGGGAGGCAGCAGUGGGGACUAUUGGACAAUGGGCACAAGCCUGAUCCAGCCAUACCGCGUGGGUGAAGAAGGACUUCGGGUUGUAAAGCCCUUUUGUUGGGAAAGAAAAGCAGCAGGUUAAUACCCCGCUGUUCUGACGGUACCCAAAGAAUAAGCACCGGCUAACUUCGUG